AGACAGUUCAGACCAAGAGAACAAGAGACAGAGAAUCACGAUGGUUGAGAUCAAAUGGUUUAAAAUCUCUUUACUUCUGAUGGUGGUGCUUCAGUAUAGUAACUUCCUUACUUACUGUGAUUAAGCGGUACCUUGGAGGUUGGGGGAUCGUCAUUUUGUCAAUUCAGUUUGUGGGUGUAGUAGCACUCAUAAUAACUGUUGUGGCAGUCAACAUAUGGACAAAAACUAAAGGGAAACAAAUGCAGACGGAUGAAAAUAUGGUGGAUAAUGAUGAAGAUGAUGGUACAGUGAACUAUGAAAACACCAGAUCUUCUGAUGUCUGACGGAAACUUCAGCCUCCAUCAGACUCCACUGAUCAACAACUUCUACAUCAACAUCAACUCAACUCGUUUUAAAUGAGUAGAUUGUAAAUACAAAAAAUCUUAAGGUUAUUUUGAGAAACGUAAUAUUUUGUUUUAGUCUUUUCCUGCAUCAGUUGGAUUUUAAUUGAACUGAAAACAGGAUUCAGCUCUUUUUUAACUUCCUUAAAUUUGCUUCUGACCAAAUAAUUUAGUUUUGAUUUUAAGACUAACUAAUGAAUUUCAAAGCAGCUUGAGCUCAGUUUUAUGUUUAAUUUCUUUAAAUUAACCUAGUAUUUGUGUUAACAUAUUUGUUAGAGUCCAGUAGGUGUUUGGCUUAUUUUGAGUCUUAAAGUUUGUUUGUUUUUAACAGUUUGUCUUUAUUACAUUUGAUAAUUAUAUAAUAUGCAAAUAAAGAAGGAGUUUAACACUCAA